rnacentral:rRNA from 1 species
UACGUAGGGUGCGAGCGUUAAUCGGAAUUACUGGGCGUAAAGCGUGCGCAGGCGGUUUUGUAAGCCAGAUGUGAAAGCCCCGGGCUUAACCUGGGAAUGGCAUUUGGGACUGCAAGGCUGGAGUGUGGCAGAGGAGACUGGAAUUUACGGUGUAGCGGUGAAAUGCGUAGAUAUCGUAAGGAAGACCAGUGGCGAAGGCGGGUCUCUGGACAGUUCCUGACGCUGAGGCACGAAGGCCAGGGGAGCAAACGGG